GGGCCAUUAGCUCAAUUGGUAGAGCAGGCGACUCUUAAUCGUCAGGUUCCGGGUUCGAGUCCCUGAUGGCCCACCA
rnacentral:tRNA from 2 species